UUGGUAGCUGAAGGGCAAGGUUUAUUGUCAGUUGGCUAUAACUUACCCUUAUGCUGAGAGAUCGCAAUUAUAUGUGAAUUCUGUGAUCACUUUUUCUGGUUUUUCUUUUCAGUUUUGGUCCACCUUCUGUUAGACUUUACCAACUCCUGGCCCCCUCUAAUGUUGAAUGAAACUCUGCAGCUGGAGAAAGUCAAUUUUCACUUCUAAAAACCCUGGCUGGGUAAGAAAGGUCAACAAUUUGACUACCUGAGAAGUUUCAUUUACACAACAAGACCCUUUUCCCAUCCUUUCUUUCGGUGCAAUUAAUUUAAAGAUUUUAGGGAUCUCUUAUUCUAAACAAUUAACAAAGAGAUCACAUUUAAAAAGGACAUAUAAUAGUGUCAUGGCCAGCCUUAAAAAUUCUCUUGACUAAAUUAAGAGUGAAAAAUCUGACCUAAACCAGUUCUGGUAGGUAAAAUUCCUGCAGAGGCUUGGGUUUGCUUUCUGGUCAAGGAAAAACAAAGGCCACUCCACCUGUGGCCCAAUAGUUAAAAUUCUGCACUUUCACAUCCACAGGGUGAGUCUGAUUACUGGUCAGGGAUCCAGCCCCUCUCGGUUUAAUAUUUGUGUGACUUUUUUGUUGGGUAUCAAUUUAUUAUUGAUCUUUAUGAUUGAUCUUUCCCACUUCCAUAGCUUUUUGUUUCCUGUCUUUUUUCAUCUGUUGGGGGCACAUGAGGCUUUGGGGCCUUUGUGUGCAUAUGGUCAGCUGAGAAGUAAUAUCAUCAGGAAGACGGGUGCUUCACCAUGCUUCUGCCUGUACCAGUGUACAGAAUAUAAAGCCUUGGAGGAACUGCAGUUGAUGACAGCAUCUUCCCCUUCUCGGAGGAUCACGGCUUGAGGACUCUGCACUGGUUGUUGGCUUCUCACCCCUGAUCAGAAAGACAAUCGAAUGAGAUGCUCAAUCUCGUGAAGGGAAGGGUGAUUUUCUCUCUUCCUUCCUUAUUUAAAACAUUAAGCAUCACCACAUAAUUACGGUACAUUUUCCUCACUUCUUAGGUCUGGUUCUUAAAAGGGCCCUUCCCAAGACAGAAAGCUAUUGUCAUUAAGAUGCUGUCAUAUCACAACCUCUCCCAGACUGAAUCGUGUACUCACAGGUCAACUGCCACAACAAGGUGCCUGAAAGCACUUUCAGGAGAGUCUCCAUCCUUGGCCUGCCAGAAUAUCCAGUCAGCUUCUGAAUGGGCUUCCUUAACAGGAGUUGCUUUGAACUCAGAAUGAGGCCUGUUGCAAUUGCUUCCAGGAUAUUGCAACUUUGGGGGCAACCAAUCAGAGACACAUCACAACAGUUUAACUGCAGAGAACUAAAUGCAUCUACCUAGAAUACUUUUUAAACAGCUCUCCCCUGUGGCCAGACUGAGGAAUGUUGAUUAAACUGUGGAUUUUGGCUUUUCUUGAGUAAGUUUUCAUACAGGAUAGGUUUUUUUCUUGCUAUAAGAAGGGCCUAUCAAUAUACUGUGUUACAGAAAGAAUUACUCCAGAAUUAAGAGAAAAAAGAAGUAUCAAGGGAAAAUGUAUUAUAUGUAUUUUACUACAUAUAUAUAUUUUAUAUACAUGCCCACACAUGGAUAUAAUAUAUAAGUAUGUGAACUCAUAGUAAUCUUUCAAACAGUGACAUUUCAUUAUAUUAUUUACUUGUGCAGAUUUCUUUCACUGCUCAUCAUUGUCUUCAAGAUAAUGUAAUGUACAAACAUCUUAUAAUGGCUUUUAAUUAUUUUCACAAAGUGGUUUCUGCUUAUUGCUUUAGUUUUAUAUUUACUGACAUACAUUUUGAGUUGUAUGCUCUGGCCAUCCUGAAUUAGUUUAAUGUCAUUCUCUUAACCUAAAUAUUGACUUCAUGUCUUUGUACAUUCUAUUUAUCUUUUUCUGUAAUACCCUGUCUCUGACUCCAUUUUUGGCUAACUGUUUUACAGAUCUUAACCUAGAUACUACUUCCCGUAGGCAGCUUUCCCUUACAUUUAAGUUUCCAAAUUAAAUGCCACUGUUAGGUGGUUAUAUUCUACGCUUCUCCUAUGAUAGCUUUUAUUAUACUAUAUUGUAAUACACUCUGCAAUAUUACAUGCUCCCUGAAGGCAGAAACAAUGCCUUAUUCUUCUCAUUUGCAUCUAUUGUUUUCAAGUCUAAGACACAUAUUAGGUAUCAAAUGAAUAACCUUAUUAAGUGAAAUCUCAAGUAAAUAGAAAACAUAUUUGGUAACCUCACAAAUAUUAUGGUUACUCAUUUAUAAAACUGAGAAUUAAGGUACAACUGCUUUGCAGUGGUGGUUUGAACAUUUUAUGACAUACAUAAUUUUAAUUAUAGCAUAAUUCUGGCUUUUAGUCCUCAGGUUCAUUGUGUUCUGUGUCACCUUGUACAUGCUGUUUCUAUCUUUAAGAUCACUUUUACUACCUUCUCUGUCUUUCAACUUGAUUGACUCCUACUAAAUCUUUAGGUCUCAGCAUAGGCAAGACAUACUACAGGCUGCCCCUGACUCACCUCUAAGGCUAAGAUGGGGGUGGGACUUUCCAUAUGCCUUCAUACCUCCCUUUGCUUUCCCAAGGUUGGCCUCAUUUCACUUUACUCUGUCUGAUUAGCUGCCUACAUAACUAACUAGACUACAAUUUAGUCAAAGAAGAUAUGUAUUUUUCCAUAGCUCUUUUUUUCCCAGCAUGUAACAUUUAUGCAGAACUCAGCAGGCAACCAGUUAACAAUUGCUAAUUGAUAAAAUGAAUAAAACUUGAGACCGA